rnacentral:lncRNA from 1 species
UUUAAUUUAAUUUAUUUAAUUCCAUUUUUCUAAUUCAAAUUUAUUUUAAUUCAUCUAUUUUAUUUUUCAUCUCAUUUUCCAUCACUUUUAUUUCCGCAUCACUUUUAUUUUCACUUUAGUCUCUUUCUUUCUCUCCAUUGCCUGUUUGACCGGAGGGUAGGCUGAGCCUUGCCGUUGUGCCGGUUUGAGUUACCGUGCCUGUCUUACUGCCACGACAGGCUAGCCAUCGGGCCAGACUGAUCGGUGUUCGUUUUGUCGUCUAGCCGUAAUGCCGUUGUGCUGGUCUGAAUUACCAGGCCCGUCUUACUGCCACGACAAAUCAGUCACCAUACUGGUCUUGCCAUUGUGCCAGCCUAACCGCCUUAUCGAACUUCUUCUCUCAUUUUCACGUCUUUUAUCGCUUUAUGGCAAGGUAGGGUCCUAUGACCCACACUUCUGUUUUUUGAUGUGUGUGGUCUUGCCAUUGUACCAGCCUAACCGCCUGAUCGAACUUCUUCUCUCAUUUUCACGUCUUUUAUCACUUUAUGGCAAGGUAGGGUCCUAUGACCCACACUUCUGUUUUUUGAUGUGUGUGUGUUUGCAGGAAGGAGAAACAGGUAAAGGGAGGCGAUUCCAAACCGGCCAUAGGCUAGGGGGCUUUCUAACGUGAUCUAAGAGGGCGCCCACGCGAGCCAGCUCGAGCGUGUCACGGAGGCAAUUGAGGUAAGUCCUGUCUCACGACCCUAAUUCCUCUCUCACCGAUUGGUACUUCUACCCACGUCUUCUUUACGUGGUUCCCGAGAGAGUGAUCUCAGGUCCCGGGUCCAUCUCGAACCCAGAACCACACCACAAGGUCAACCCGAUCCGGAGGACGAGAUCGAGACACCUAACCAAGGGGUACUAUUGAAAUGUACAAUAGGUAUAACGAGUCACUAUUGAUAAAAUAUUGUUUCCCAUAUGUAAUUAGUGAAGAAUCACCAUAGGAAUGGUUCCAUGUGUGACUCAUAAUUAAUUAGUGAAGAGUUAUGUUUCAAAAUGAUUAGUGAAAAAUCAUGAAAGAUAUGAAUGAACGAGUGUAACCAAAAGUAACUAGCGAAGAGCUGUGAAUUCAAGAGUUAUAGGUGAUGUCUUGGGAGUAAGGUGUGUCCUAUUUAAAAAAUAGUAUGUCUACCCCUUAAUUUUGGGGGAAUAAUGUUAUAUAACUACCAUAUAAGAGAUACUUAAAGUUAAAUCGAAUUGGAGGCUUUUUGUUAAGUGUCUAGGACAAUUAACUUUAAAACUUAACAUUAUUAAUUUGUAUGAAAUUUUUACAAUUAUUAGUAUUACCAAUGUGUAUAAAAAUUUCAAAGUAAAAUUAAUAUUAGAUAUUAUAAAUUAUCUCUUUUGGAUGGUUGAAAAUGCAUGUCACUAUUUGAAUUCUAAUAGUUUUACUUUCAAAAAAAUGUUAGUACAUAUAUAUACAAAAACACACCAAAUCCAGCCAGAUCCACCCUCAAUGUCCAUGACUAGUUCCAGAUCCAAGUUGGGCCAACCUCACGGGCCAACUCCCAACCUUGAAUUCCUAACUCUCAGCCUUGAAUUUUUCACACAUCCCCUUGAUCCGUCCGUACCCACUUUAGAACUUAAAAUUUCAUAAUCAAAGGUGGAAAUAAACAUUUUUGGCCACAAUAAAGGAUUUUUGGAUUAGUAGGGUUUUUGAGGCAUACCUUACUUUUUAUUAUAAAGUCUUUGCCUUGCUUGUGAAUGGCCCUUGAGCUUUAGUGUGGCUAAACGUUGCAAAGAAUAUAAAGAGACUAUUUACUUUUGGUACAAGGAGGUCAUUUCAAACCUACGGUCAUAAGAGUGUCAUUUACAAAGUUUAAAAAAAUAAAAAAUUCUAUCCCGUGCUAUCUAAUUUGACAUCUAAUGCUAUCUAAUUUGAUAUCCAAUGGCUAAGAAUAUUUGUGACCUCUUUGUAAAAAAAAUAAAUGGUUUCACAGUAUGCAAUGCCCAUUUAAAAUUGAGUUAAAAAGUUGGAAACAAAGAACUCAAAAGAUGACCAACUCCAUUCUAUCAUCUAAACACGAAGAAGUAUGAUAAAGCAUGAUGAGCCAUAAGAAAAUAAAGGCAUGGCAAAGAAAAACCCUCAAUUGUUGUGCAACAGAAAUUUACAGCUGAAGAGUGAUGGCUCAUAAGGUAUGAUGUUGAUGAAUGAGUCAUUUUCUUCCCCAUAAGGCCACUUAAUCUUCUUUACCCCACCGCUCUUCUUGAAAUCCUUGUGCAAGUAGAUCUCGAGGCCCCUCGCCUUCUUUUUCGAGACGAGGAGAGCAUGCUGCUGCAAAAUCACAUCCAUCCCGGGUCUCACAUUGCGUCCUCGACUCUGCAAGAAGGUGAAGUUGCCAACAUCAGCUUCAAUGGUGACUUGCUUCCACUUCUUCUCUUCACUCAAACUCCAUAUUCCCAACUUUCCAUUUCCGAAUGCAUGAAUAAAGCAUACCUUCUUUCUCCAACUUACCAAUUUGCAGGAAAUUGCUUCAGAAGCCGAAAGUCUUGAAAGAGUUUCUGCAACUUGCAAAGGGAGA